rnacentral:rRNA from 1 species
UGGGGAAUCUUGGACAAUGGGCGCAAGCCUGAUCCAGCAAUGCCGCGUGGGUGAAGAAGGCCUGCGGGUUGUAAAGCCCUUUCGGUGGGGAGGAACGCUCUGGCGCUAAUAUCGCGGGAGCUUGCCGUCACCCACAGAAGAAGCACCGGCCAACUCCGUGCCAGCAGCCGCGGUAAUACGGAGGGUGCGAGCGUUAAUCGGAAUUACUGGGCGUAAAGGGCGCGUAGGUGGUGCGUUGAGUCAGCUGUGAAAGCCCUGGGCUUAACCUGGGAAUGGCAGUUGAAACUGACGUGCUGGAGUGCGACAGAGGACGGUGGAAUUCCCGGUGUAGCGGUGAAAUGCGUAGAGAUCGGGAAGAACACCGAUGGCGAAGGCAGCCGUCUGGGUCGACACUGACGCUGAGGCGCGAAGGCGUGGGGAGCAAACAGG